UUUUCUUAACUCCAUGCUUCU
rnacentral:piRNA from 1 species